AUGUAACAUGAAUUUCUAGUAAUAGGUCCAUUAGGUCCAUUUUAAAAAAAAUCACACAUGAAUCAAGGUUGUGACUUCUGUUUUAAUAUAUAAGAUAAAGAGAGCAUUACAUGUAGACAUACUUUGGGCUGGGUAUAUAACACUUUAAGGUACUUUAUGCUGGUGGUGUACUUUUGGCCUUCUGUGUUGAGUUGAGAUUCCCAUCAUACCCCUGUGAGUAUUAAUAGUUACGACCAAGUUUAUAAAAGGUAAACACUAGUUAGAGUUCUCUUGUUGCAAUUAAUUGGUAACUUUAUUGAGUGGUGGACUUUCGUAAUAGCCGUUGGAUUAAAGAUAAUAAAGAGAAAUCUGAGGGCUGAGGUUUGGUGUGGUCAAGAGAGGUAGUGAUGUGGGCAGAGUUAGAAGUGUUGAGGUCAUGGCUAGAGAGUGUGUGGUCGUGGCCAGAGAUCGUGUGGUCAUGGUUAGAAACCGUGUGGUUAAAGUUACGUAGAACAUUCCUAAGGAGAUAGAGGAUGUUGGGUCUGAAGUAGAUCUUCUAUUGUUUCCUUGGAUACCUGUUAGUGAUGAAGAGCCGUUCAAGUAGAUGUGAGAUUUAAGAACAGUUAGAUUUAGAAUUUGAGACAUCAAAAGUAGAGAAAAAUACAAAAA